GAAUAAGUAUGGGAAAUUCUGAACCCAUUGUUUCUGAGUGGGGAAUUUUUUUUUGUUUUUGUUAAUAAUAAAUAAUUGAUAUCAAAUCUGAACUAUAUAUUGUAUAGUACAAAAUUUUGUAUUUUUCGUAUAUAGAUAUACGGAUUUAGUAAAUUUUGGUACGAAUAAUAAAUCCAAUCAUCGAAUGAGAAACCAUUUGCUCGGAAUAUUUUAAAUUUUAACUAUAUAACAAAAAUAUAUCAAAAUACUCAUAAUCGUUUAUAUAUUGUUGUGUGAAAACAAAAACGGCACGUUGGUCUUUGAAUGAGUUAGAUUAACUUGUUUUUUUUUUUUUUUUUUUGGUCAUCUGUUAACUUUGUUGUAACUUGUAGGUUUUAUUUUCUUUUCUUCUUCAAGUUAAAAAAAAAAAAGACUCAAAUUGAAGAAGAAUCUGACAAUAGCAAAGUAGAGUUGGUUAAUGGUCAAUUUGAGUCCAAUAUUCGCUUUAGGAAAACCAAGUAACAAAUCUUCUAACCCAUUUUUAUUCAGUAUCUCGAUUUCGUAAGCCGAAUAAACCGAUUCGC
rnacentral:lncRNA from 1 species